GAUGAACGCUGGCGGCGUGCCUAAUACAUGCAAGUCGAGCGAACGGACGAGAAGCUUGCUUCUCUGAUGUUAGCGGCGGACGGGUGAGUAACACGUGGAUAACCUACCUAUAAGACUGGGAUAACUUCGGGACACCGGAGCUAAUACCGGAUAAUAUUUUGAACCGCAUGGUUCAAAAGUGAAAGACGGUCUUGCUGUCACUUAUAGAUGGAUCCGCGCUGCAUUAGCUAGUUGGUAAGGUAACGGCUUAUCAAGGGAACGGUGCAUAGCCGACAUGAGAGUGUGAGCUGCCACGCUUGAGCUGAUACACGGUCCCGACGCCUACGGGAGGCAGCAGUAGGGAAUCUUCCGCGAUGGGCGGAAGCAUAACGGAGAAAGGCCGCGACAGUGAUGAAGGACUUCUGAGCGUAAAACUCUGUUAUUAGGGAAGAACAUAUGUGUAAGUAACUGAGCACAUCUUGACGGUACCUAAUCAGAAAGCCACGGCUAACUACGUG
rnacentral:rRNA from 1 species